rnacentral:rRNA from 1 species
GAUGAACGCUGGCGGCGUGCCUAAUACAUGCAAGUCGAGCGAACGGACGAGAAGCUUGCUUUUCUGAUGUUAGCGGCGGACGGGUGAGUAACACGUGGAUAACCUACCUAUAAGACUGGGAUAACUUCGUGAAACCGGAGCUAAUACCGGAUAAUAUUUUGAACCGCAUGGUUCAAAAGUGAAAGACGGUCUUGCUGUCACUUAUAGAUGGAUCCGCGCUGCAUUAGCUAGUUGGUAAGGUAACGGCUUACCAAGGCAACGAUGCAUAGCCGACCUGAGAGGGUGAUCGGCCACACUGGAACUGAGACACGGUCCAGACUCCUACGGGAGGCAGCAGUAGGGAAUCUUCCGCAAUGGGCGAAAGCCUGACGGAGCAACGCCGCGUGAGUAAUGAAGGUCUUCGGAUCGUAAAACUCUGUUAUUAGGGAAGAACAUAUGUGUAAGUAACUGUGCACAUCUUGACGGUACCUAAUCAGAAAGCCACGGCUAACUACGUG